GUUUUUCAGGUAUUUUAUUAAGAAUAAGGCAUAUGAUAGUCACCCCUAAAGCACAGGGCUCUAUUUCUGUAGGUGAGUGAAUACACUCUGAAAAGCAUUGGAUUAAAAAGCGCAGCCAACAGAGAACUUGGAGCAGGAUCCCUCUGCCGUGCCUGCAGGGCUCCUGCCGGGUGUUUCUGAAGCCUUGCAGGUCCCCUACUCAAGGCCGGCCGCUCAGUGAGACUGCUUAGAGAAUCCUGGCUCCACACAAAGAGGAGGUGCUGCUCCACACCCUCUUGGCCUCCUUCUGCUCCAUCAGGGGGACCUCUAGUCUGCUGCUUGUUUUGGGGAAGGGCCACCCCAUUUCAGCCCGACUGGUGCCCCAAACUGCAGGCCAUUGUGAGCGGGGACAGUGGCACAAAGCCUCAGGCUGUAUUGCCCACAGGUCCCAGGCUGGCUUCCAGAAUGGGGAGGAGUCCCCACCUGCAGCUCCUGGCUGCAGCUAGGGCCCCUGAGUGUCCGUGUCAACACACCCCUCCCCCAGUGGAAUUCGUGCAGCAAAGAGGGGAGAGGUGGGAGGGGGGACAGGGAGAGGGAAGGCAAUGUCCUUUCUAGUCAUCCAAACUUGUCAGGGGCUCGAGGAGGGGGGUCUCUCCUUUGGCAGGGUGGGUCCCUCAGGCUGGGAGAGUGGGAGGGCCAGAAGCUGAGGGCCAGGCUGGGGAGUUCCCCGCCACCGAGGCCAAGGGCAGACCACCGACUCCCAGUCUUAUUCAUUUUAUUUGGCGCCCCGAGGGUUCUGGAGGAGGAAAGCUUCUCAUCUAUUAUUUCCAGGCGAGGGAUGGGGAGGGGGCAUUUCUGUUAAAAUUGGAACCCUGUAUUUGCUUUGGACCUUCCCCCAGCUUGCUGAGUGGAGGGGGGAGGGAUGGUUGCGUUAUUUCCUUUCCCAGGCACCCCCACACCUCAGCUGAGUCAGUGAGUCAGCCACCCCAGCACUCCGGACCUUUCAUGGGGGGCGGGGGGCAGGAAUCUCCAAGUAGCUCAGGAACAAGAGUCACCUCUGAUUGUUGGAAGAGCCACAGCAGGGGAGGUGCUGAUGCAUCACUUGGGGAGAGGCAGGCAGGCCACCAGGGAGGAUGGUGGGGCAGGGGUGUUGUGGUGGCCCCCAGCCAGGCUCCUCGGGUACAGAGGAAGGAAGGAGGAAGAGGCCUAUUGCUAUAGAGCUGGGGGAGGCCAGCUGGGUGGAGCUAUGGCUUUUAGCGGGUGGGUGGGUGGAUAGAGUACUUCAUCAUCUUUGUAGGAGAAGUGACAUCACAAAGUCACCCAGUUCACCCCGAAAGUAU
ensembl:lncRNA